GUAAACCCAAGGUUGCCAGGGGAAGGGUCGGCCGGCCCGGGUUAGUCGGGACCUAAGCUGGGGCGGAAAGGCGUAGGGGAUGGACAACAGGUGGAUCUUCCUGUACUACCGAUAACCGUUUGGGAGAAGGGAUGACACAGUAGGAUAAGCUAAGCACGCUGUUGGUUGGGCGUGACC
rnacentral:rRNA from 1 species